AACAUAAAAUCCAGAAGAUAUGUAUGUGGCUGAGAGGAGGCAUGUAAUUCCUUUGGUGGUAUUCACACUUAAAUAUAACACAGUGUAAGAGCAAAUCAGUUUUGAGGCGAGCUGUCAAAGCCACUCUCUUCCACCACUUUUGGGGAUCACUGUCACCAGGAUGUUAAUUAGGCAUGGGGAGGAGAUGAGGCUAUUCCAGCAGAUCAGAACUCUCUGGGAAACCCUGAACCAAAUCCCUGUGGUGUAAAUGCAGGGAAAUACAGCUUAUUUGUGUAAUUGUGGUCCAUCUUUGUGCCAGUGGCUCCACGUUGGUCAAGGGGCUGCUUUGAAAGUUGCUGGAGAUGCUCUGCCUGAUGCUCAGGGCACUGUCCCUCUUACACGUGGUUUUCUGAGGAAUGUUCCCACUCUUUCAAACACCCGGGGAGAACUGCUUUUGAGGGAUUAUUACAGAACCUCCUGGGGAAAAGACAAAUCAGGCUUUUUAUCUGCUUUUUGGCUUGCCACAAGCGAGUCCCAACUUCCUGCCACUAAAGGCACUUCUGCUUCUCUCUGCUCUGUCAAAGGACUUAAGAUGAUCAAUUUAUAACGUCUACAGAGUGCUAGGAUGAAAAGAUGUUCUGAAAAUGCCUCAGAUGAAAAGAAGCUGUAAAAAAAAACUAAUCUUUACCCUGAUAGACUGAUUACAAUCUAUUGUGCUGUGGAUUAGUGGGUGCAGAGAUCAGCUUCUUCUGGAAGAAAUGUAUCUAAAAUGAGCAGAAGUGCUCUCCUGUGUAUCACGGGGACGUUGUCAUCUCCCAGGCUGUGAUAUGUGGCUAAAAAAAGAACAGAGGGCUCCUAAAAGUAGCCGAAAAGUGCAUGAUCUGUGAGUAGAGCCAGGAGACAACUGAGUCAUCUCAAGUUCUACAGAGGGCCGAAAGAGUGGUAUUGGAGUGAAUAUGAGUGCAGAGCAGGCUGUGAGCAACGGCCCCAUCUCCAUGAUUUCCAUAGUCAAGCAGAUAGUACAAGAGAUGUGUGCUUGUGCAUUUGUAUCAUUCAGACUCCAUGUUUUCAGAUUCUUUGAACGGAGAACAAGAAAAAUGAUGGAGGAAAAGGAUCAGUGAGAAAACACUUGGAAUCACACCAGCGAGAAAGCCCCUGCUUUGCUAACACUGUGGUGGUUGGCAGUGGGAAAUAACUAACCUCCUACCACAGUGAUAGCUGAUAGUUAUAGCAUGCUUAAAACAAUCAUGUAUUUUGUAUCCCACUCUCUUCCACAGAAGUCACGUUUGCCAGAAACUUAAAAAAAAUUCAAGUAUGGUUCAUGUUUCAUUUUGCUCUGAGGUAAUUGCCAGUCAGCAGCCAUUUGUGGUCUAAGAUGACUGGAAGUUUUAAAGCAGAAUGUGGGCUUUUCCCACUUAUCUACUUACCAAAACCAACAUCUACUGGGGAAAAAAAAAUCAACACAAUAAACAACAGAACAAAACAGUAUCUCAGAGGAGUCUGGCACACAAAUGACACAGUUAAAAUGUUGCUCCACUAUUACAAUUGCUUCAGAAUGAUUACUAUCCUUCUAUUUCAUCCUCAGCUGAUUAGUCCCUAGGCUCAAUUGCUUUCAAAUGAAUAAAACACCAUCUAUUUGUGUUUUUCCUUCUGUGAGGGAAAAAAAAAAAAAAAUCUACUUAUUGUGAUAAAGAGAUUGGUUUUAUCUGUGUGGACUUUUGUUCUAAGGAAUGCAAUAAUUUUGCUGGUACUGAAAUUCCGAUUUUGAGUGUUUUUAAUUAGACUAUUGUCUACUCUGUUGAUUUGAGAAAUGGUUUGCAUAACUGACCCAAACACCUCCGGAAGCUUAAACUGAAUUUUGGAAAGCAUUACUGAAUAUUUUUCCUGUCUUCCUCCUCGCUGGACAGAAAAAGCUGAAAAGCCCCAAGCACAGUCGGAUACGCAAACCCACAAGAAUACUAGCAGCUAUGCGUUUCCCAUCACCAGUUGUUCAGGAAAUGCUGUACUUCAAAGAUAUCAGGUCAUUGCCCUUUUUCAAUACAAGGCGUUCAGAUAUAGUUUUGAAAAAUUUUCAGUUGUCAUCCAAGAUGAAUCUUAUCACGUUUACCCAUUAUUUCGAAUCAGAUCUGAAACAUGACAGGCAUAAUUUGGGUUGAGAUAUUUGGCAUUUCCCAAACCCCUGCCAUAUGUCACUCAAAGCCAUUGAUGGGCACUUCAAAGAAAACCAGCAUGCAGUUUUGAGCAGUUCUUUGCAAGUUUCUUUGUAGCAAAAUUUCCUACUUGGAAGCCCUCUAGUUAAGCUUGCAUUUCUGAUAAAUUUCCAUGCAUUAUUAACCUAAUUGGACCCAACAUAUAUUCUAAGAUUCUCAUUAAUAUUUUUAACAUGUUAUGGCAUCUUUAUCCUUGAGCAGUCAACCAAGUUUUCAUCUUCAUAAAAACGGGUUCCUCAUAAUCAGACAAUCCAAUCAUUUCCAGUCCAUAAGGUAAAUUUCCUCUAUAUUCUUUGAUUUUGCAGGAUUUUUUUUUUAACCAAUCAGCAUAAUACAUUUCACCCUAUGGUUUAUUUCUCCGUAAACCUUGCCACAAUUGCUGGAAGCUUCUAACUGGAAAGGAUGCCAACUUGAGCUGGAGGACACAUCUAAGAGAUGACCUCAGGCCAACUGAAAGAAGGUAGAGCAUUUUAGGAGGACUGUUCCAUUUAUUCUUGCAAUUUAGAUGCUUCACUGACUUCUGAUCAUCUUCAGAAUGGAUAAAAUGCCAAUGGACCGUACUGAAUGGUAAAUAAAUGGUACUACAGCCCACUGACUGUUAGUCGUUCGUUAAUAUAUCUGCAUAGGGAUAACACUGUGGAGACUAAAUCCUGAAUAAAACUGUCUGAGGUGAUACAAAAACGAACAUGAAAAGGAUGACCCUAAGCUAAAAAGAUUACUUGUGUUUGUUUGGCUCGAUGGCUGUAAUAGCAGCAGUAUUCAGCUGGAACAAUUAUUGGGUAGAAAAGAAGGGGUUUUUUUUGUAUAAGUUCAGAAUGCUUUCACUGUUAUUAUCUAAAAUUGAACUAUGUAUAUUAUUUUAAAUGGGUAAAUUUUUGUUUUGUAUCCAUGAAAUUGCUACCACAUUAACAAGAUUUUCCAGGCAUUAAUGGAUUGAUUUCUGUUAAAUUGUAACUAUAUUAAUUCAUCCCAAUUACCUCUAAGUAAAAUUUAAAUUAAGUUAAAUUGAAGAAAUUAAAAAUGUUUGAAAACCCUGCAUGGAAACCUUGAGG
ensembl:lncRNA